UACGUAGGGGGCAAGCGUUGUCCGGAAUCAUUGGGCGUAAAGCGCGUGUAGGCGGCCUGACAGGUCUGCUAUGAAAACUCGAGGCUCAACCUCGAGAUGUCGGCGGAAACCGUCUGGCUAGAGUCCGGAAGAGGAGAGUGGAAUUCCUGGUGUAGCGGUGAAAUGCGCAGAUAUCAGGAAGAACACCUAUGGCGAAGGCAGCUCUCUGGGGCGGUACUGACGCUGAGACGCGAAAGCGUGGGGAGCGAACAGG
rnacentral:rRNA from 1 species